rnacentral:lncRNA from 1 species
CUUAUUUAAAAUUACUUCAUUAUGAAUAGGUGUUAUGCUGACCACAUAAAAAAUUAACCUAGAGGCUACAACAAAAAUUACUCCAUGAUGGAGUCUCUGAAUCGCAAUAAUGGAGCUUUACAGACUGUGUUACAUCUAACUUGAACAGUGGCGACAACUAAUGGAUCCCUUCCAAACAGCAGGAAAUCAAAGAUCUCGGAUCUGACGAGGUGUGAAUCUUGAUGAUGUAGCCUGAAAAUAGAUCACGAGCAUAUGGAAAAAGGAUCACUAAACAUCAUGAGCUGUUAAAAGUGUACGAGGAAAAUUUGAACAUAACAACCAAUUAUUUUAUAGAACUUAUACUUGUUCUUCGGAACAAAUGGUAACAAUCAUGAUGUCAUAUCAGAGCUUAUUCAGGACAUCUUUUUUACUAAAGGGAGUACUAUGUUUCAACAAAAUUGUCAAACUAUGUCUACACAUUUAGCAUACUAUUAUCUUUGUCAUCUCAACCUACACUGCUCCGCACCUUGUUAAAAUCUUAACCGUCAAAAUUUAUGCCAUAACAAUAUCUAGGACUUGGUUGUUAAUGGCUAAAAAGCAGUUUUGCUAAGUCCCUAGUGGUGAUGUACUAAGAAUAUGGUGG